rnacentral:sRNA from 1 species
GCAGUGUGAAAAUCAGUUGAAAGUAAAUACCAAUGAGAAAACAAUUUACUUGGUGAUGAAACGGUUAUCAGAUUCGUAUACCGAAUUAGAACGUGCCAUCAAAGAAUGGUUCCAUCGCUCAGGUGACAGAAUAAGAAGCGUUACAAAACAAAAUAAAUAGUAUUAGUAAAAACAAUGUAAUAAAAUAUUACUAUAUUAAAAUCAUUUUUUAAAUAAAUAUAAAAGAUAUAAAAUAUAUAAAUGUAACAUGCUAUAAUAAUAUAAAUAAUAAAUAUCUAUAUAUUUUUUAGAGUAAUAA